ACACUCCUGCGGGAGGCAGCAGUGGGGAAUUUUGGACAAUGGGCGAAAGCCUGAUCCAGCAAUGCCGCGUGAGUGAAGAAGGCCUUCGGGUUGUAAAGCUCUUUUGUCAGGGAAGAAACGGUGAGAGCUAAUAUCUUUUGCUAAUGACGGUACCUGAAGAAUAAGCACCGGCUAACUACGUGCCAGCAGCCGCGGUAAUACGUAGGGUGCAAGCGUUAAUCGGAAUUACUGGGCGUAAAGCGUGCGCAGGCGGUUUUGUAAGUCUGAUGUGAAAUCCCCGGGCUCAACCUGGGAAUUGCAUUGGAGACUGCAAGGCUAGAAUCUGGCAGAGGGGGGUAGAAUUCCACGUGUAGCAGUGAAAUGCGUAGAUAUGUGGAGGAACACCGAUGGCGAAGGCAGCCCCCUGGGUCAAGAUUGACGCUCAUGCACGAAAGCGUGGGGAGCAAACAGGAUUAGAAACCCGGGUAGUCCCAUG
rnacentral:rRNA from 1 species